rnacentral:rRNA from 1 species
GAUCAUGGCUCAGGAUGAACGCUGGCGGCGUGCCUAACACAUGCAAGUCGAGCGAAGCGGUUUUAAGGAAGUUUUCGGAUGGAAUUAAAACUGACUGAGCGGCGGACGGGUGAGUAACGCGUGGGUAACCUGCCUCAUACAGGGGGAUAACAGUUAGAAAUGGCUGCUAAUACCNCAUAAGCACACAGCUUCGCAUGGAGCAGUGUGAAAAACUCCGGUGGUAUGAGAUGGACCCGCGU